CCUACGGGGGGCAGCAGUGGGGGAUAUUGCACAAUGGGGGAAACCCUGAUGCAGCGACGCCGCGUGGGCGAAGAAGUCUUUCGGUAUGUAAAGCCCUAUCAGCAGGGAAGAAGAAAUGACGGUACCUGCGUCAGAAGCACCGGCUAACUACGUGCCAGCAGCCGCGGUAAUACGUAUGGUGCAAGCGUUAUCCGGAUUUACUGGGUGGAAAGGGAGCGCAGGCGGCACGGCAAGCCUGAUGUGAAAGCCCGCGGCCCAACCGCGGGACUGCAUUGGGAACUACCGGGCUGGAGUGCCGGAGAGGUAGGCGGAAUUCCUAGUGUAGCGGUGAAAUGCGUAGAUAUUAGGAGGAACACCAGUGGCGAAGGCGGCCUACUGGACGGUGACUGACGCUGAGGCUCGAAAGCGUGGGGAGCAAACAGGAUUAGAUACCCCUGUAGUC
rnacentral:rRNA from 1 species